rnacentral:rRNA from 1 species
AGUGAACGCUGGCGGUAGGCCUAACACAUGCAAGUCGAACGGCAGCACAGUAAGAGCUUGCUCUUACGGGUGGCGAGUGGCGGACGGGUGAGGAAUACAUCGGAAUCUACUUUUUCGUGGGGGAUAACGUAGGGAAACUUACGCUAAUACCGCAUACGACCUACGGGUGAAAGCAGGGGAUCUUCGGACCUUGCGCGAUUGAAUGAGCCGAUGUCGGAUUAGCUAGUUGGCGGGGUAAAGGCCCACCAAGGCGACGAUCCGUAGCUGGUCUGAGAGGAUGAUCCGCCACACUGGAACCGAGACACGGUCCAGACUCCUACGGGAGGCAGCAGUGGGGAAUAUUGGACAAUGGGCGCAAGCCUGAUCCAGCCAUACCGCGUGGGUGAAGAAGGCCUUCGGGUUGUAAAGCCCUUUUGUUGGGAAAGAAAAGCAGCAGGUUAAUACCCCGCUGUUCUGACGGUACCCAAAGAAUAAGCACCGGCUAACUUCGUG